GUGGGGAAUAUUGGGCAAUGGGCGAAAGCCUGACCCAGCAACGCCGCGUGAAGGAAGAAGGUUUUCGGAUUGUAAACUUCUGUCCUCAGGGAAGAAGGAAGUGACGGUACCUGAGGAGGAAGCCCCGGCUAACUACGUGCCAGCAGCCGCGGUAAUACGUAGGGGGCGAGCGUUGUCCGGAAUGACUGGGCGUAAAGGGCGCGUAGACGGCUGUCUAAGUCUGGAGUGAAAGUCCUGCUUUCAAGGUGGGAAUUGCUUUGGAGACUGGAUGGCUUGAGUGCGGAAGAGGUAAGUGGAAUUCCCAGUGUAGCGGUGAAAUGCGUAGAGAUUGGGAAGAACACCAGUGGCGAAGGCGACUUACUGGGCCGUAACUGACGUUGAUGCGCGAAAGCGUGGGGAGCGAACAGGAUUAGAUACCCUAGUAGUCC
rnacentral:rRNA from 1 species